rnacentral:lncRNA from 12 species
CAGCGAGCUAUAGAACAACUGGCUGAGCUUUUAAAACUCUUCAGUUUUAAUCAGAAUGUAAAAAAUACGUGUUAUACCUUGAAGAGGAAGGGCCUGUCAUGAUCCAGAAGGCAGCAGCGUGGUGGAAGCCUGGAGAAGCCAGGGCUGUGCAAAGCAAGGAGAUAGGGAGAGCCGAGGGUGUCCCUCAGGGCUCCCGCUCUUUUUGUGAGGGCCCUGUUGUAACGCUCACCCCUCCCCAAGGCGAAGCAGAGGCAGCUCCGGAGAAGUCCCACACACAGCAGAGAAGGCAGUGGUAG